CGCUAGCGGCGUGCCUAACACAUGCAAGUCGAGCGAGAAAGGGCUUCGGCCUCAGUAAAGCGGCGCACGGGUGAGUAACACGUGGGUAACCGUACCCUCGGGUGGGGAAUAACGGGCCGAAAGGCGGGCUGAUACCGCAUAUGGCCUAAGGGUCAAAGCAGCAAUGUGCCUUGAGAUGAGCCUGCGGCCCAUUAUUUAAUCCUAGUUGGCGGGGUAAUGGCCCACCAAGGGUACGAUGGGUAGCUGGUCUGAGAGGACGAUCAGCCACACUGGGACUGAGACACGGCCCAGACUCCUACGGGAGGCAGCAGUGGGGAGUAUUGCGCAAUGGGCGAAAGCCUGACGCAGCCAACCCGCGUGUGUGAUGAAGGCCUUCGGGUUGUAAAGCACUGUCGUGAGGGAAGAAGAUCUGACGGUACCUCACAAGAAAGCACCGGCUAACCCCGUG
rnacentral:rRNA from 1 species